rnacentral:rRNA from 1 species
GAUGAACGCUAGCGGCAGGCUUAAUACAUGCAAGUUGAGGGGCAGCAUGAUAUACGCGAGUAUAUUGAUGGCGACCGGCGGACGGGUGAGUAAUAGGUAGGAGACCUACCUCAUACAGGGGGAUAGCAUAGAGAAAUCUGUGGUAAUACCCCAUGAGGUUAUAUGAAUAGAGGCAUAUAAUCAAAGCAUAAGCGAUUAUGCGGUAUGAGAGGGGCCUACUGACCAUUAGCUAGUUGGUGAGGUAAGGGCUCACCAAGGCGAAGAUGGUUAGGGGUUUGAGAGAGAGACCCCCCACAUUGGAACUGAGAGACGGUCCAGACUCCUACGGGAGGCAGCAGUAGGGAAUAUUGGGCAAUGGGCGAAAGCCUGACCCAGCCAUGCCGCGUGAAGGAAGACGGCCUUAUGGGUUGUAAACUUCUUUACUACGCGAAUAGAGGUUAGUACGAGAUACUAAUAGGAAGGUAGUGUAGUAAAAAGCAACCGGCUAACUCCGUG